UUAAUUGAAGAGUUUGAUCAUGGCUCAGAUUGAACGCUGGCGGCAGGCCUAACACAUGCAAGUCGAGCGGUAGCACAGAGAGCUUGCUCUCGGGUGACGAGCGGCGGACGGGUGAGUAAUGUCUGGGAUACUGCCUGAUGGAGGGGGAUAACUACUGGAAACGGUAGCUAAUACCGCAU
rnacentral:rRNA from 1 species